rnacentral:rRNA from 1 species
AGCUGCAGUCGAGAUCUUUCGCAAUGGGCGCAAGCCUGACGAAGCGACGCCGUGUGAGCGAAGAAGGCCUUCGGGUUGUAAAGCUCUUUCGCUAGGGAACAAGAGAGGUGGGAUAAUACCCURCYAAUUUGAUGGUACUUGGUAAAGAAGCACCGGCUAACUCC